CUUGGCUGGGCCCCGGGUUGGAAGGUGCGGAGAGAGAAGGUGCUGUUGCUGCCACACAGCUCAGGCAGAGGAGGAAGUGGGAAGCUGGAGGCGGGCGGGCACAGGGCCCAGCAUGGAAGAAUACAUCCUCCGGGUUUUUGGCCAGGGCCAAGUUUGAACCCAUCACCUCUGGUAUAUGGGGCCAGUGCCCUACUCCUUGAGCUACAGGUGCCACCCCGCAACACAGAGGAGAGAAGAGGGACUAGAGGUGGUACCUCCAGCUGGAGAAAUCAAAGAAGAUUUCAUGGAAGAGAUGGCAUUUCAAAUGAGCUUUGGAGAAUGAAGUUUCUUGAAGACAGAAUGAAGAAGAGGAGACAGAAGACAAAGGAAGGAUCUUUGGGGAGAGAAGACUAAGAGACCUUCAGGAGUGCCCAACAGUGUCACAGGCCACAG